UGCUGCAGCAGCACCUGCUUGACUGCCACCUACCCCGCUGCAUUCCAACCUAGUUUUAUCAGCCACGCUGUUCCCAUGGCCUACGUUCAGCCUUCGUUCCAUCGCACAUGAAACACGUUGACGAUGAGAGCUCUGGGCCUGAUCGCUGCACUGUUUUCUUCCUGCUUAGCAGUGUCGACCGUCAAACGCUAUCCCCUGAAACCGUGCUCAGGGUCUGCAGUGGCCAGGAUUGAGAACGUAGCGGCCAAAAGCGAGAUGGACUGAGGACAGGCAGUGCUUUCCUUCGACGUCAUUGUGAGGGGACAUUUGGAGGAUCCUGAACCUCGCGUAACUGUGGCUGGCGAAGCAUUGGAAUACCCUCGACCGGGCUACAAAAUGUGUGCGCUGGUGAGACGCGAUCCAAAGGGCCCACCCACCAAUCCGUGCGAAUUCAGAGCUUGUGUCUAUCACGCACAGAUGAACGUUUUCGGUU